GACAAGGUAGCCAAGUGGUUAAGAUGAUGGAUGAUUAAUCCAUUGUGUUCUGCACGUGUGGGUUCAAAUCCCAUCCUUGUCA